rnacentral:rRNA from 1 species
AGCUGACGUAUAGGUGCUGACACCUGCCCGGUGCUGGAAGGUUAAGAGGAGGGGUUAGACUUCGGUCGAAGCUCUGAAUUGAAGCCCCAGUAAACGGCGGCCGUAACUAUAACGGUCCUAAGGUAGCGAAAUUCCUUGUCGGGUAAGUUCCGACCCGCACGAAAGGUGUAACGACUUGCGCACUGUCUCAACGAGGGACCCGGUGAAAUUGAAGUACCUGUGAAGAUGCAGGUUACCCGCGACUGGACAGAAAGACCCCAUGGAGCUUUACUGCAACCUAAGAUUGAACUUAG